rnacentral:rRNA from 1 species
GACGAACGCAGGCGGCGUGCCUAAUACAUGCAAGUCGAAAGAGUGGAGAACGGGUGCGUAACACGUGGGUGACCUGCACUGCAAUACGGGAUAAGCCUGGGAAACUGGGUCUACUACCGGAUAGUGGGGGAUGGGGCUGCGGCCUAUAAGAUGUUUGGUGGGGUAAUGGCUACCAAGGCGCGACGGGUAGCCGGCCUGAGAGGGUGGACGGCCACAUUGGGACUGAGACACGGCCCAGACUCCUACGGGAGGCAGCAGUGGGGAAUAUUGCACAAGGGGCGCAAGCCUGAUGCAGCCAUGCCGCGUGUAUGAAGAAGGCCUUAGGGUUGUAAAGUACUUUCAGCGGGGAGGCGUUACCCGCAGAAGAAGCACCGGCUAACUCCGUGCCAGCAGCCGCGGUAAUAC